GCAAAGGAAGGACCUCCCCUUCCUUCAAGGGGUGACAGGAAGUAAAGGAGGAGAUUCCCUGAGGCAUUGCUUGCUCUGUGCCUGCAGGAGGAAGUUGUGAGCUUCCCAGUGGGAGAGACACCCUGAGGAGAUUUGUACUCCCAAAAGUAGAAAUGAUAGGGGAGGUGGAGAGUUUAUGGCAGCGACUCCUACCAUCAAGACUGUCAGAACAGACUUGAGUGUCUUUGUGAAAUCUCCAUCCUUGAAGCUGCAGCUGUAGAGAAGUCCAACAGAUGAGAACAAAGGAACAGCCUCUGGAGCAAAGGAAAAGCUAUUUGGUGACAGAAGCAUUAAGCACAUAACUCUGUGGCAGGAGUCACCUUCUGUAAACUGGGAUUAUCUGUAAGGCGAAUUUACCCACUGUUGUCAAAAAUAUUUUCCAUAUGCAGUGCCUGAAUUCACUACGAGGCAGAUGAGAGAAGGAAUCCUGCCUUUCCACUUCGCACCUCUCCCAGUGCAAGAACUUGGUGUGAAUCCAGCCUGUGUUUCAUUGCUCAAGUCCAUCCUGAUUCAGCAAAGCACUUCAUUAUGCUUAACUUUAAUCAUGUGCUGAAAGGGUGAUAAAGCGCUUCCUUGAUUCAAGGUGGACUUAAACAGGUGCACAAAAAACUGGGAGAGGAAGAAGUGUUCUUGGGUAACAUGUUGCACUCACCACAUUUAAUACAGCCACCUUCAAUCUAUAUGGGGAAGGCUGGGAUGUGAAUCUUCAAACAAGCAACCCAGUACUGUGAUGGAAGGGUUCUAGAACAGCUCGAGAAGUGAGGGAGGCAAUGCAUGGCAAGUGAUGGAAGAGAACUGGCUGAGAGAGAAGAUCGCAGGCUGCUGUCAGUGGCCUUCCACGGAUAACAUUUCACUGUUACCACAAAGCAAGUGGGUUUUCAUAUCAAAGGUGUUUGUAGUCAAUACAGACAUCUAUAGAAUAUAUAGAUACGAUUUUACUUAUUGUCCUUGCCGCUUGGGCAGGAUAUUUCAAUUUGCCUGCUACUAAUGUAACUAUAUUGAUUGUGUUAUAAAAUAUGUCUUAUAUUCUGA